CUUUGGUGUCUUGCCUUUUGAUAUGAUCUCUUGCUACCACACAUUUUUCUAUUGUUGUGAUGCUGUCCAUGAUGGGGGUCUUUGCCAGAGCUGAGCUGAUGCCAGUUCUAUGCCCUCGAACCUCCAGAACCAUCAGCUAAAUAAAACUCUUUUAUUUAUAGUUACCCAGACUAAGGUUCAUUACUAUUAUAGUAAUGAAAAAUGGACUAAUGCACCUCUCUCUUCUUGAAUUUAACUAAAAAUCUCCCCUAGUCUCACGACAACCAUACCAGUAAAAGACCUCACAGCAUCCAACCACAGUCAUAUUUAAUCAUAUUGCUAUAAGCCAACACAUAGAGCUUGCUCAGGAUUAUUAGUUCUUACUUUGUACAUAGUUCUAACAAAUUUGUUCAUCUGAUUUUCAAAGGUAAAGUAGAGGCUACAAAUUAUAAAGGGACAGAAUGCAUGCUAAGAAUAUUGACACCAUAGCAGUGCUACAGAUAAAUUAUAAAGGUCACAAAAGAAAAUAUUUUAAAAAUCACUAGUUUGUUAUAGCUUAGUUACCUCAUUGGGGCCUGAAAAGAAUACUAUGUAUGAUACUGCAUUCAUGCUCGUGAAGCCAGGUUAUCUGUGAACACAUUUGUGUGUUGAAUUCUGUUUAUGAUUAUAUAGAAAUACAUGCUAUGUUUUAGAAAAAUAUUCACUCACAAGAGGGUUAAAUUUAAGAAACAAAAAUUUAAACCAAGCAUUACCUAUUCCUUUAAAUAUUUACUUUCUGAAAAACUCAUGUCUAGAACAUCAUCUCCAACAACUCCAGAAUGCUAUAUUGUUCCAGAAUUGAUUAAUUUGAGGGAAAAGAACAGAGUAUAAAGUAAGAAAUUGCAUUAAUCUAAAUACUGUACUGUGCAAUCCGUCAAGAGGACUUGCACACAAAAGCAUUUGCUCUGAUGCUUCAUGGCAUUCCACUCCUUGUGUGCCACAAAAGAGCCUCACCUGUUUAGUCUGUUUCCCUAUGUGUUCCUUACUCUCUCCACUUGGCAAUAUUUGGAUUGGAAGUGCCACAAAGGAAUAUUUGAAAAGUUUUUUUUACAAAUAUAAGUUCAAUAAAAAUGUUUCUACAUGUUAAGUUUUGCAAAACAUUAACUUUGAGAGGAUUUGGUAGCUAAUUAAUCAAGCAUUUCUAGACCGUCUUUAUGCAGACUCAGGCAAAGAUGUUCUACGGAUGAAUGUGAAGAACCAAUUUCCUUCGGACUUCCAACACCCAUACCUGUCAGUAGUAGACCUAAGGAGCAAUUUGAUGUAACCCACUACAGUACAAGACAUAUUCUUUGACAAUUGUGCCUUGUGUCAGAUGUAUUAGGUUUUGGUAACACAAUGGUAUGACAAGAUAUGGUACCUGUCUUGCAGGAACAAAUGAGAUACAAUGGAACAAAUGUGCC
rnacentral:lncRNA from 1 species